rnacentral:misc_RNA from 1 species
GCACAACUACCGAUAGAAACUGUCAAAUCAACUAGUUAUAUCAACUGCUGUUGGUAGUCAAUUAAAAAAUUAUUUUUUUAAUUUAUUUAUUAAGUUAAGAAUAUUUAAACAUUGUAAGAUUUAAUAAUAUUAGGAUCAUUUCUGAUUUUCAGAAGAAAAUGAAUUAUUCUUCUUAAUUUGUAGGAUUUCUUAAUUUUUUGAUAAUGUAUAUUUAAUUACCAGUAUUUACAUGUGUAUGUUGUGCUUGUACUUGAAUGGAUUUGUUUUAUUGAAACCAAUCAAGAAAACAAAUUACAUUGUAUAAAUGUGUUUACUUUGUUUUACUUUCAUUUGUCAUUCAUAUUGUUCAGCAGGGCAUAUAUAACUGAUUGUUUGCAUAUACACAUUGUUUUGGUUGAACAUUGCAGAAAAGAAAGAACACUCUAGUAGAUAUUUUGAACAAUCUGAAGUAUUAAUUUAUCAAAAUUUGUUAUUUAUUUGUAAACACUGUAGUUAUUUUGGUCAAGAGUAUUUUAAAGUCUUUUAAAAUAUGUGGUAUGAUAUAAUUAUGUUAAAUAUAGCUUUGAGGGUUUUUUUUCAACAAAAAGGAAUAAUUUAUUAAUAUAAAUUAUAUUAAUAUGCAUUAAAUUGGCAAAUGUUUUGGAAAAUGUACAUGUAUGUAUAGUAGGUUACAGUAAAUAUAUUAUAUGGUAAUAUGUAUUUGCAUGUUCAUAUCAAUUUAUGAAUUUUUAUCAUUUUGACUUGUAUCUGGAAAAAAGCUAAGUUUCUUGAAAUGGCAAAAUCAAAAUAACUAUUAUUGUUUGUUGAAAUUGCAAAUAAUAAGAUGUUAUUCAAAGUAAUUUUAAUUAUAAUAAUUAAUUUUCUAAAAUGUCUAACUAAUACUUUGACAAUACACCUUAUUAUGUAUGGGUUUUUUUCAAAGAUUUGUUGUUGAUUAUUUUUUUCUUUCUAAUUUUGCUUUCAGCAUUAGAAUUACUAUUGUACAUUUGAAAAUAAUUUGAGAUUUCUGCAAAAUAAAUUACAAAGCAG